rnacentral:rRNA from 1 species
AGUGAACGCUGGCGGUAGGCCUAACACAUGCAAGUCGAACGGCAGCACAGUAAGAGCUUGCUCUUACGGGUGGCGAGUGGCGGACGGGUGAGGAAUACAUCGGAAUCUACUUUUUCGUGGGGGAUAACGUAGGGAAACUUACGCUAAUACCGCAUACGACCUACGGUUGAAAGCAGGGGAUCUUCGGACCUUGCGCGAUUGAAUGAGCCGAUGUCGGAUUAGCUAGUUGGCGGGGUAAAGGCCCACCAAGGCGACGAUCCGUAGCUGGUCUGAGAGGAUGAUCAGCCACACUGGAACGGAGACACGGUCCAGACGCCUACGAGAGGCAGCAGUGGGGAAUGUUGGACAAUGGGCGCAAACCUGAUCCAGCCAUACCGAGUGUGUGGAGAAAGCCUUCGGUUUGUAAAGCCCGUUUGUUGGGUAUGAACAGCAUCAGGUUAAUACGCCGCUGUUCUGACGGUACCCAAAGAAGAAGCACCGGCUAACUUCGUG